rnacentral:rRNA from 1 species
ACCCUUGUCCUGUGUUGCCAGCGGGUUAUGCCGGGGACUCGCAGGAGACUGCCGGGGUCAACUCGGAGGAAGGUGGGGACGACGUCAAGUCAUCAUGCCCCUUAUGUCCAGGGCUUCACACAUGCUACAAUGGCCGGUACAAAGGGUUGCGAAGCCGUGAGGUGGAGCGAAUCCCGGAAAGCCGGUCUCAGUUCGGAUCGGGGUCUGCAACUCGACCCCGUGAAGUCGGAGUCGCUAGUAAUCGCAGAUCAGCAACGCUGCGGUGAAUACGUUCCCGGGCCUUGUACACACCGCCCGU